UGCAUGUAACGCACUCGGUGGAACGACAAACAAGCGAAAGAAGGCACGACCAUGCACCGAGGGUAUGAUGCCGUGAGCCCCAUUUUGUCGACCGCCCAGAAGGCAACGCCCACGGAACGAUAGGCACCCAGAGGGAUUCUAGGCGACAGUUCCCGGUGCAGCGAAGGCCUGGUUCCACAUCACUUCUCGUUUUGGCUCUGGAAAGGUUUUCCUGUGCAAUGCACCCAUUUCGACAUACACUUCAAGCAAGGAAACAGCCAUCGCCAGCUGCGAGGUACUACGUCGCAUCCAAGGAACAUCGUGGCAGCUUGCUACUUCCGGACUGGAGCAUGCGCACGGAACUGCACCGAUAACGACAGUGACAUCCCAGCGCAGCAGCUAUAUAAGUGCAGUCGGCACGCAGCAAUCCUGUGGGCAUGGCGAAAGUGCUGUCAUGAAGACUGAACCGGUCAUUCUGUUGUUACAGGUUAGUAAAUUUGACAAGUGCUUCAGAAGUGACAACCGGUUUAUUAUUGUUCUGCCAUGCCCCGAACUAUGUGCUUCUUGUGCCCUGGAAUGUAUUUCCAUGUUGCUGAUACUGUCUGGUGAUGUUGAGCUUAAUCCUGGGCCCAAAACAGUUGAAGGAAUGCUCGCGGAAAUUUUGGAAGGGCAAAAACUAAUGAGUGAGGAUAUAAAACAAGUAAGAACAACACAGGCUACCUUUUCCAACCAGUUAGAAGUCAUAAACAAGAAGAUAUCGGAGAUGGAAUUGACCAUGAGAGCUGUAAAGGAAAAUGAAGGAAAA